UUUCUAUAGCACAUUAAACUUCUUUAUUUAAAAAGGGACACUGCACAUUAAUCAACAUGAGAACAGAGUCCAACAUGUAAAUAUGCCAGAUUUAGCCAUACAGGCUAAUUUUAAUCUGCAGUCCCAAGCAUGGCUAA